rnacentral:rRNA from 1 species
UACGUAGGGCGCAAGCGUUGUCCGGAAUUAUUGGGCGUAAAGAGCUCGUAGGCGGCUUGGCAAGUCGGGUGUGAAAACUCCAGGCUCAACCUGGAGAUGCCACUCGAGACUGCUAUGGCUAGAGUCCGGUAGGGGACCACGGAAUUCCUGGUGUAGCGGUGAAAUGCGCAGAUAUCAGGAGGAACACCGGUGGCGAAGGCGGUGGUCUGGGCCGGCACUGACGCUGGAGGAGCGAAAGCGUGGG